rnacentral:rRNA from 1 species
AACGAACGCUGGCGGCAGGCCUAACACAUGCAAGUCGAGCGAAGCCUUCGGGCUUAGCGGCGGACGGGUGAGUAACGCGUGGGAACGUGCCCUUUGCUACGGAAUAGCCUCUGGAAACGGAGAGUAAUACCGGAUGUGCCCUUCGGGGGAAAGAUUUAUCGGCAAAGGAUCGGCCCGCGUUGGAUUAGGUAGUUGGUGGGGUAAUGGCCUACCAAGCCGACGAUCCAUAGCUGGUUUGAGAGGAUGAUCAGCCACACUGGGACUGAGACACGGCCCAGACUCCUACGGGAGGCAGCAGUGGGGAAUCUUAGACAAUGGGGGAAACCCUGAUCUAGCCAUGCCGCGUGAUCGAUGAAGGCCUUAGGGUUGUAAAGAUCUUUCAGGUGGGAAGAUAAUGACGGUACCACCAGAAGAAGCCCCGGCUAACUCCGUGCCAGCCGCCGCGGUAAAAC